CAGAGCGGUUCUGCUCGAAUCUUAUUCUCGCGCAGAUAGAGCUCCAACUCGUAGGUGGCUCCAUUGCAUGACCAUUUGUUUCUGCAAAUAGACGGAAAACCAGUUAUACUAAAGUAUGACUACAUAGCAUCAUUACUCAAGACUUUUUUAAAUCGAAACAUACCUUUCAAGAACUACUGACUCCAGAUCGGGCAUGGCGCGCAAAACAUCCUUGUCCAGAUUUUCCAGCAAGUUGUUCGACAGAUCCAGCUUGCGAAGUUGCGUCAAUCCCAAAAAGGUGUCCGCAUGCAAGUAAUCGAUUCGGCAGCCACUCAUAUUCAGGCUCUGCGGAACAUUUGCAAGAAAACAAAUAAGACCGUCAUUAAUAAAUUUGAUAAGUAACAUCAGAAUAUCCAUAGCAAAAAAUAAAAUAAUAACUAUCAUGAAGAUAGCAGCGGUAAAACUUUAUCGCACAAAAUAAAUCACCAUAAAUCAUAGAGCUAUAAUAAAAGAAGAAUUAUCUCCAUAAAGAUAUAACGUACCGUGAUCGUCGUGCUGUGGAGUUUCGGCACGUGGAGAUUGAACUUGUUACCGGCAAGAUUAAGGAUUUUCAGCUUUUUGUUAGAAUAAAAUGUGUCCGCAACUAUGUAAUCUAUACGGUUGUAGGACAAGUCGAGAACGGUGAGGUUCUUCAAAUGAACAAAGGCUUCCAGUCCGAUUUCGCCUAUGGCAUUCAUCGACAGGUUGAGAUACUUCAAUCUGGUCAUUCCCGCUUUCUGCAAUAGAAACAUAACGACAUAUUUCAUAAAUGUACGCUGAAUAGAAUGUGCAUGCGCAAAACUGGGCUAAGACGCUUAUAGCUAUUAUUUUCGAUCGAACAAUAAGCCAAGCACUCACGCAUAUAAUAACGACGCACUGCGAGUAAGUGCAUUAGAAAGUGUUCCAAACGCGAGUACGAAGCGCAUACUUGGAUAACAUUCUGAGAUUCUUCUGAGUAUUGGACAGAUGUUUUAAAGUUUACGCCUAAUCCUGUCAACUGCGAGGCCUAAUUUCCCCCGAAUAAAGAUCAAUAUCGCUGUAAUCUAAGGAAUCGAGCCGUAAAAGCGGUCAAUGCUGAUGUCGUAUUUAUCCUCUUAAACUGCGCUCUUAAUUUCCAAAUUUUCGUAUUGUCCUAUGUUGUUAUGGUCCCAUGUUAUCAUUGACUUCGGCAUCUUUCUGAUAAAAGCAAGCAAUUUAUUUACUCGCAGUGCGUCAUCUUUUGCAAUCGGACGCGCGGCGAUCGACUGUCUACAAUAUUUUACUGUUGCCGCUGCUGCAAAAAUAAAUCAGCGUUUCGUGGUAUCGAUUAGACAAUGCAAUGGGUAUAGCCCAGUCUUGUUUGAUCGGUAGACUAAUGAUCUUUUCCGAAAUCGGUACAUUUUAUUCUUCACUUAUAUACUAUCAUCUUCGGAAAAUGUACAGAAACGCGAUUUCAUUUUUUAAAUCUAAUUCCAUUAUAAGAUGAAAGUUAUAAGCUAUACAUAUGAGUCUUGGAUCUGUAUUCAAAAGUAUAUGUAAAAAAAAAAAAAUUACUUAAAACUGUUUGCAAACAAACAAGUAAAAAAUUUGUAUUAAACAAUCAUUUUGAGGUUAGAAUCGCUAACACGCUAGGUAUGAUAUACGGCCUAUAGAGAGGAUAAAAGCAACGCUUCAGCAAAGGCUCGGAUUUAGCAGAUUCGCCUUGGAUAAGAUUUCGUUUUGCAAAACCUAACCAGUUAUGCUAUCAAAAUUAUUUCUCGUUCCGCAGGCUACAUUUUAGGUACGAUCAGCUUUCACAAAGUCUUCGAAGAGGACAGAACAAUCAAAAGAAAAGGAAUACAAGUUUUGAAACAAGCAUUUAUAUUUGUGUAUUCAACAGUAGGUAUCACAAUCAACUAGCGGACCGCGUAAACAUCGGGGUAGAGCCCAUUCCUGAGCAUCGCUUGUUCAAUUAGCAUCGGGAUCCAGUUACAAAGACAAGGGAAAAGAGCAAAGCCACUCACCGAUAAUUCCCGAUCAUCGAGCUUGCUGAUGGAAUUGUUGGAUAAAUCGAGAGCCUGAAUGUAACUCGGAGCACCCGUGUGGAUGCUGUAGAGUCGCUGACCGGUGCAGACGGCCGAGGGCAAGCCCAGCCACGUGCCGCACUCGCAGAGGCUGGUGCAUCGCCCUGGUUGCAGACUCAAAGGUUGGGCCAGCCCCACGAUGCCCGCCAGGACGAGCAACAGGUUCGUCGCCCUCCACAUCGCGCACCUGCACUGCCCCAGUUUUUCUCCAACUCCUGCAGUAGGCUGCACUUGCGAGACGAUAGUAGCUUCUCUGGUGCAGUUGUAUGCAGCAGGUCCGCCUCCUCUUCUCUCCCUCUCGUGUGAUCGCGAUCAAGUAUUCCACGACUCGCCGCUGCAGCAGCUGCAUGCGCCGCACACACAGACACACAGACACAGGCACUCAAGGCUCGGAUGCUGCGCCGCCGUUGAUGAACGACGCCGCCACGCUUCGCUCCGCUUCUCGAAUCUGAUGCUGCAGUCGCAUCUUUUCUCAGUUUUCGAGGAUUCUGUGGCUGCAGUCUUCGGCGAGCUGAAUUUGAGACUCCGAUUAGCAAGGAAUAAUUAAGCGCGACGGCCCACUGGACACUGCGCUACAGUCUAGUCGCUCUAUACUCUUACUCGCGCUCUUCGGCCGAGCGAGCCAACUACGUACAGGGCCUGCGAUCCGGUAUAAAAACACACCUGAACUGAAAGCUACUGCGGCUCUCGCUCAGCACGAGUCACGACCAUUUGGCGCUAUAUAGAAGAUAUAUACGUUUCCAAUUCUGCCAACCGCCAAGCCUACGCCCGCGAAAUUUGAAGUAAAUUUUUAUUAACUUUUGUAUCACCUGAUUUAGAUUUUCUUAUAUAAACGUUAGUUAUUCAAAUUACGCGCCAAAUGUAGAGACGUGUAAGCGCGGUGCUCGUGUUUCGAACCACAGAUAUUUUAGUACACCUUAGACUUUUUGUAGAGUUGGUGUACAAAAUCUCAAUUUAGAAAUGAUCUCAUUCCAUCACACUGUGUGCUCUGCAAAGCUUAUUACUUUUAUCAAGCUACGAAUACCUAGAUGAGGAUGAGCAUCAUUUUAUUGGUAUACGACUUAAAAGGCACGAAAUACAUUAACGCACAAUAGGAUAUUUUUAACAGUAUUUAUAUAAUAUUUAUUUUUUGCUACAGAAGCACAAGGCAAUAUAUUUGAAGCGUAUAAUAUAUAUAUAUAUAGUCUGAAGACAUGUCGAGAAUAAUGAUAAAAAUUGAUCCAUUCUUUGAAUGAAUUAAUAUAUUUAAUUUAAUAAAAGACACAAAAUAAUAUAUCUAAUCUAAUAGCUGCUGGAUCUUAUUAUUUGUAUGUUUCUUAAUUUUUAAUUUUAUUUACUUCUGUUUCUUUGUAUAGCCAAGGUAGGAAAGUGACAGGCACAACCUAUUACAUGUAUAAAUUCAGUACAAAGCGCAGUGCCUUUUGAAUUCACCAAUACCACGAUUUAAGAGCGGAUUAAAACUGAAAAA